rnacentral:rRNA from 1 species
AUUGAACGCUGGCGGCAGGCCUAACACAUGCAAGUCGAACGAGCGGCGGACGGGUGAGUAAUGUCUGGGGAACUGCCUGAUGGAGGGGGAUAACUACUGGAAACGGUGGCUAAUACCGCAUACUAUCGGAUGUGCCCAUAUGGGAUUAGCUAGUAGGUGGGGUAAAGGCUCACCUAGGCGACGAUCCCUAGCUGGUCUGAGAGGAUGAUCAGCCACACUGGAACUGAGACACGGUCCAGACUCCUACGGGAGGCAGCAGUGGGGAAUAUUGCACAAUGGGCGCAAGCCUGAUGCAGCCAUGCCGCGUGUAUGAAGAAGGCCUUCGGGUUGUAAAGUACUUUCAGCGGGGAGGCGUUACCCGCAGAAGAAGCACCGGCUAACUCCGUGCCAGCAGCCGCGGUAAUUC